UCGUUCUCCUCCUAGCUCCCUCAAGUCUUGCCAUAAAAUCAAAAGGUUGCAUGGUGAAUUGCCCAAUAUCAUACGACGGAAUGACAUGUGCCUUUGAUUUAGCUUGCGGAUUUGAGGCAGAAAAUGAAUGUCAGCUAAAAGUGGAGAUAUGUUUGCGUGAAUUAAACAAUAGACCCCGUUUUAUCAAAACGAGUCCUGGAUACUGUGUGGAUGACA